rnacentral:misc_RNA from 1 species
AAGUCGUAACAAGGUCUCCGUUGGUGAACCAGCGGAGGGAUCAUUACCGAGUUCGUAAAAAAACUCCCCACCCAUGUGAACUUACCAUGUUGCCUCGGAGGACCUACCCCGGGACCUACCCUUAGCUACCUUGUAGCCGCCGGGUGGAAUCUAAAACUCUUGUUUUUUAUAGAAAUCUGAACGUCUUAUUAAAUAAGUCAAAA